rnacentral:rRNA from 1 species
GUAAUCGCGUAUCAGCAACGACGCGGUGAAUACGUUCCCGGGCCUUGUACACACCGCCCGUCAAGCGAUGGAAGUCAGGAGUACCUGAUGUCGCUCCGCUAAGGAGUGCCUAGGGUAAGCCUGGUAACUGGCGCUAAGUCGUAACAAGGUAGCCGUACCGGAAGGUGCGGCUGGAUCACCUCCUUU